CCCUAUGGGGUGCAGCAGGCGUGGUGGAAACGCCCGAGCUCAAGGCCGCGGCGCUGAACGCUCUGGUGGCCAAGCAUGAAAAGCACGACAAUUUCAAACCGGUGACACCCGAAACGCCGGAAUUCAAAAUUUGCCAUGUGGUUGAAGUGACACCGGAGAGCAUGACCGCGAAAAGCGAUCUGCUGCAGAACCGGUCGGCGGACCGCCGCCUCCUGGUGGCGGAAAAAUUGAGCCAGCGCGGGCAUGGCCAUGACUUAAUCGCCGUCAAGGCCAUGGGAUUUGAUCCCGAAAAAAUGUAAAAGCUCAAUAAGCAGUCGGCGAUUCUGUCCCCCCUGCCAGGCUUAAACCACCUUGCGAGUCAGAAUCGCCAAAUUUUUUCAAAAGCCGUCUCCGCACUACUUAAGCGGGGGAGC
rnacentral:rRNA from 1 species